rnacentral:rRNA from 1 species
AGUGAACGCUGGCGGUAGGCCUAACACAUGCAAGUCGAACGGCAGCACAGUAAGAGCUUGCUCUUACGGGUGGCGAGUGGCGGACGGGUGAGGAAUACAUCGGAAUCUACUUUUUCGUGGGGGAUAACGUAGGGAAACUUACGCUAAUACCGCAUACGACCUACGGGUGAAAGCAGGGGAUCUUCGGACCUUGCGCGAUUGAAUGAGCCGAUGUCGGAUUAGCUAGUUGGCGGGGUAAAGGCCCACCAAGGCGACGAUCCGUAGCUGGUCUGAGAGGAUGAUCGGCCACACUGGAACUGAGACACGGUCCAGACUCCUACGGGAGGCAGCAGUGGGGAAUCUUGGACAAUGGGCGCAAGCCUGAUCCAGCCAUACCGCGUGGGUGAAGAAGGCCUUCGGGUUGUAAAGCCCUUUUGUUGGGAAAGAAAAGCAGCAGGUUAAUACCCCGCUGUUCUGACGGUACCCAAAGAAUAAGCACCGGCUAACUUCGUG